AGCCCCGAGGUGUUAGCAUAUUGGAUUGCAAAUCCGAAGAAGCAGAGUAACGUCUGCCGGGGCUU
rnacentral:tRNA from 1 species